GCUGCUUUCAUGAAUCUGUCUUCUCUUCAAAACUAGUUGGUUUGUGCAGAAAUCUAAGAGCUCAAACUGUGGAUAGUAAAUAUGCACAAAGUCUACACAAGAGUCUGUGUACAGUGAAUUUACAGAAAAUGUAGAAAAUCUGAAUUAAUCACAUUUGUGAAAGCGUUGUGACUACUCAGGAUUUAACACAUUUGGUGUGAUUUUCCAUUUCAGACAAGGCUGGUUUCCCUGUACACAGCUGUGGGCCCAAAUGCCAAGAUGGACU